rnacentral:rRNA from 1 species
ACGGUCGCAAGACUAAAACUCAAAUGAAUUGACGGGGGCCCGCACAAGCGGUGGAGCAUGUGGUUUAAUUCGAUGCAACGCGAAGACCCUUACCUGGCCUUGACAUAGUAGAGACUUUCCAGAGAUGGAUUGGUGCCUUCGGGAAUCUACAUACAGGUGCUGCAUGGCUGUCGUCAGCUCGUGUCGUGAGAUGUUGGGUUAAGUCCCGCAACGAGCGCAACCCUUUUCCUUACUUGCCAGCAUUUCGGAUGGGAACUUUAAGGAUACUGCCAGUGACAAACUGGAGGAAGGCGGGGACGACGUCAAGUCAUCAUGGCCCUUACGGCCAGGGCUACACACGUGCUACAAUGGUCGGUACAAAGGGUUGCUACACAGCGAUGUGAUGCUAAUCUCAAAAAGCCGAUCGUAGUCCGGAUCGCAGUCUGCAACUCGACUGCGUGAAGUCGGAAUCGCUAGUAAUCGCGGAUCAGAAUGCCGCGGUGAAUACGUUCCCGGGCCUUGUACACACCGCCCGUCACACCAUGGGAGUUUGUUGCACCAGAAGUAGGUAGUCUAACCGCAAGGAGGACGCUUACCACGGUGUGGCCGAUGACUGGGGUG